rnacentral:rRNA from 1 species
UAGUGAGUUUGAUCCUGGCUCAGGAUGAACGCUAGCGGCAGGCCUAAUACAUGCAAGUCGAACGGGCGGUAGCAAUACCGCUAGUGGCGCACGGGUGCGUAACGCGUAACCAACCUGCCCGAAACUGGGGGAUAGCCCGCCGAAAGGCGGAUUAAUACCGCAUAACCCAACAACACGGCAUCGUGUAAUUGGUAAAGAUUUAUUGGUUUCGGAUGGGGUUGCGUGACAUUAGCUAGUUGGCGGGGUAACGGCCCACCAAGGCGACGAUGUCUAGGGGACCUGAGAGGGGUGACUCCCCCACACUGGCACUGAGAUACGGGCCAGACUCCGUACGGGG